rnacentral:piRNA from 1 species
UUAAUACUGUGAGAUACUCUGUGGAUGGC